GACGAACGCUGGCGGCGUGCCUAAUACAUGCAAGUCGAACGCUUCUUUCCUCCCGAGUGCUUGCACUCAAUUGGAAAGAGGAGUGGCGGACGGGUGAGUAACACGUGGGUAACCUACCCAUCAGAGGGGGAUAACACUUGGAAACAGGUGCUAAUACCGCAUAACAGUUUAUGCCGCAUGGCAUAAGAGUGAAAGGCGCUUUCGGGUGUCGCUGAUGGAUGGACCCGCGGUGCAUUAGCUAGUUGGUGAGGUAACGGCUCACCAAGGCCACGAUGCAUAGCCGACCUGAGAGGGUGAUCGGCCACACUGGGACUGAGACACGGCCCAGACUCCUACGGGAGGCAGCAGUAGGGAAUCUUCGGCAAUGGACGAAAGUCUGACCGAGCAACGCCGCGUGAGUGAAGAAGGUUUUCGGAUCGUAAAACUCUGUUGUUAGAGAAGAACAAGGACGUUAGUAACUGAACGUCCCCUGACGGUAUCUAACCAGAAAGGCACGGCUAACUACGUG
rnacentral:rRNA from 1 species